rnacentral:rRNA from 1 species
CCUACGGGGGGCAGCAGUGAGGAAUAUUGGUCAAUGGCCGAGAGGCUGAACCAGCCAAGUCGCGUGAGGGAAGAAUGUCCUAUGGAUUGUAACCCUCUUUUGUCAGGGAGCAAAGUCACCCACGUGUGGGUGUUGGAGAGUACCUGAAGAAAAAGCAUCGGCUAACUCCGUGCCAGCAGCCGCGGUAAUACGGAGGAUCCGAGCGUUAUCCGGAUUCAUUGGGUUUAAAGGGGGCGUAGGUUGUUUUAUAAGUUAGCGGUGAAAUACCGAUGCUCAACAUCGGGGCUGCCGCUAAUACGGUAGGACUAGAGAUCGGAUGCAGCAGGCGGAAUGUGUAGUGUAGCGGUGAAAUGCAUAGAUAUCACGCAGAACGCCGAUUGCGAAGGCAGCUUACCGGCGCUCAACUGACGCUGAGGCACGAAAGUGCGGGUAUCGAACAGGAUUAGAUACCCGAGUAGUC